rnacentral:tRNA from 2 species
GCGCGAGUGGCGAAAUUGGCAGACGCGCUGGAUUUAGGUUCCAGUGUCCUAGACGUGCGGGUUCGAGUCCCGCCUCGCGCA